UGGUAGUUUUAAUUUAGUUUCAAAAUAUAUUUUCAGUUCUUCAUUUGGUCUCUGCAGGGAAGGUGUGUACCCCGCUGCUACCACAGAGACAGCUUUUCUUUCUGGAGGACUUGGGUCCCGCUGAGGUGCUGUGAGCUUCACCGUGUGAUGCCCCAAGGGAUGCAGUCUCUGGUUGUCACCCACGGCUCUCUCCGAGGCUCUCUACCCCCAUACUCCUGCUCUUCCUUCCCGAUUGAUAGGUUUCUGCCCAUGUGGAAAAACACGCCAGGUCAUCAUGGCAGUGAACCAACAUGGCGCGGGGCCCAAAACCACAGCGUGUCACUCAAAAGCUAACUCCCUCCUCCUGACUUCCUGUUUCUUUAGCGUGUUACUCGACACUCCUCCAAUCAGUGCUUGUUACGUCACUCUGACCACCCAUGCAAACUCCACCCCCAGCCCAGCCCAAUAUAUCCUCUGUCUCUCUGCCUCUUCCCCAGAGGCUCCUUGUAUCUCUUUAGCAGCCCUUCCUGCCCAACAAUACAGGCUUUCUUUACCUUUGUUCCCUCUCUCUCUUGCCAAACCUUACACCUGUCUGUGUCUUAGAGCAUCUGACGGUGGAAGGCUCUGCAUCAACACAGACGGGGAAUUGGCAAGGCCAGUUUGAUCCUCCCUCUUUGAAUGUGGACAGAGAAAUGUGGAAAGAGGGGCUCGGAUGCUGUCAGGAGAAGAUGCUGAACUGGAGCAGCAAGAGCAGCCGCGGACUCGCAGACAGGAGCUGGACCCUGAAUCUGAAGACAGCGUGUGAGGUGAAAAACCACCUGGAGGCUCAGGGUGGGGCCAUGGCUCAUCUCCCCCAGCAGUGGCUUCCUGCUGAGGACAUGGGAGCGAAGGGAGAGGACUGGAAUUCUGCCCACUCAGUAGGCAUUCACUAGCCACCACCAUGCCCCUGCUGAGUGGUGGGGUGAGCUCUUUCCCGGUGACAAGAAGUCUCCCCGUUCGCAGUGAUCAAAGCUCUGCUGGCCGGCAUGGACAGAGUGCUGUGGAAGCCGGAGGAGAAGCCAGUCAGUUAUCCGUGUAUGUGAGUGCGCAGAUUCCUCAGAGAACGCCUGACACAGAUAUCAAAGGAAGGCGGCUUCAGGAUCAUUAACCAAGACAAAGGCCAAGAAGAAGUACAGAUUCUUGUGCAAGGAGCCUGGCUUUUUGUGCAGUGAAUUUGGAUUGCCCAGAUGCAAAUGAAAACUUAUAAAAACUUCAGCAUGGUUUAAACUGGUUUACAGUGUGGGCAAGAUGAGGGUCACUUAUCUCCAGAGAGUCACUGGAGGCCACAGAACCUGUCCCAUUCUCUAACUGUACUUCAGAGACUCCUUCGGUCAUCCGCGAGGAAAAGGCUCGUAAAUGCAAGGUACCAAACCAACUUCCACUGCGAACCAUUCCUUAUGCUACAUCCUUUGUCCUCAUACAAGAAUUAAGAAGCAAUAGGAGCCUGAGAGUGUGGGCAAAGGUUGGAUAGAAGAGCUGUAAUCUUCGCAUAGAAAGUUUCUACAUUCAAGUUUGUAAGCACAUUUUCCAGGUUCACAACAGACAGGCACCUACCGGAGGUGCUUGGUGGUACCGAGAGCGGGAAAGACAUGGCCUCCUCAAGAGCAGAUGGUCGGGCAGAUUAGCUACACACUUUAGCACAUGGAUGCUAAUACAGUGACAGUACAUGGUGAGGGAAAAGAGUAGUGGUACUGCCUCAGGCUGAUGGCAUUGGAGCAGGACUGUCACCUGUGUCCUGUGUUGUCUUUGACCUGGCUGUGACACUUAUCGAGGAUGUAGUAACUGUGUCUCUUCUCUCAACAACAGUGCUUUUCUGUGAGAAAUUAGCUUGAAAACUCAGAGAGUCCGUUUAGGGGUAACUGUGCUAUUAAUUUCUUGAAUCUCUAUGCUCUCUUAUGGUACAAAAAUGAUGUGAUAUGUGUAUAUACCAGGAUGAAUGUAAUUAUUAUGUAUCACAUAUACUGAUAAAUAAUAAGAAAAUGUAGUUUUUCUUGUUCCAAACUUAAAUAGCUCUGAAGAUUGUAUAAAUGAACAAAUAAAAAAGCGAGCAAGAAAUUCCAUUCUUAGUAUUGUUGAAUAUUAGGCUGCUCUGUGACCCUUUCCUUGUUUCCCUGGGUGCCCUUGCCCGCCGCUACAGUCUGUUGGCUUCUUCAUCUCUUCUGUGAUACACACAGCUGCAAGCCACCGGGGCUGCAUUCAGCCACUGAGCCUUGUCUGGCCUCAGGCCUGGAUGUUUAUUAUACAUGCCACUUUAAUUGUGCAAUGUGAUCAUGUUGGUUGGCUUUCUGUUAUCACACAAAAAUACCUGCACUAGUCAACUGAUGAGGAGGAAAGGUUUAUUUUGGCUCACAAUUUGGAGGGUUCAGUCCCUGGUUAACUGUACCAUUGUUUUGGGUCUGUGGCAUUGCAUAAUGUUAUGUGGGAAGUGUGGUUGAGGAAGUCUGUUCAUUCAUGGCCAGGAAGAAAAGGAAAAGAGGAAGAGACCAGGGGUCCACAGUCCACCUCAAGGGUCCCAUUAGGUCCCUCUCCUAAAGCUCUGCCACAUCCCAGUAGCACCGUGGACAGAGGACACCCCUCAUCACUUGGCCUGUGAGGGACGUUCCAGCUUAAACUGAGCAAUAAUGAAACCUGAUACAACCUUUGGAAAAGCCAUGUGCCAGGAGACUUAUUUCUGUGAAAAAUCAGUUGAAUGUUUUUGAAGACCUGGGUAAGACCACUGAAUGGACGAGGCUAAUGUCAAGGUAAGGGGAAAGGUACAGCAGUCUAGAAAGAUUCUGCACCCGACUUGCUUUGCAAAAACCUUCCACAUUUUCACUUCCCAUAAGAAAUCACAGAUCGAUAACCAGAAAUGAGAUAUCGUGAGUGUGGUUAGUCUAAUUAAAACAAAGAAUGACGGUCAUACUCAAAGUAAAGUCUGUGACAGUGUGGAUGAAUAAGGGCAUAUUUGCAUGUUUGGACUUAACAUUUUUCCCAAGGAGUGUUUCAGUACAUUAGUAAGUUCUUGAUUUAUGUGAUUUUAAGAACGCAUCCCAGGCGUUUCCAGGGGACACACACAGGGCGGGGCAACGGGCUCCACACAGGGAAUGAGCCAGUGAGGCAGCGACUUCUACUGCUGCUCGCCAUGGUCAUCAGAGGCCACACAGGCCCCGGAGCACGUCAGCAGGGCACUGGUGUUUUCUGAAAACCUACAUUCAUAUUCAUAUCCCACACUGACUUUGAUAAUCUGUGGAUUACCCUUGUAGAACUCUAGCAGGAUUAUUUUAUACUAGCUCUCCUUUAAUUGUCUCUAUUUGUCCCUUUAUACCUUAUUUACUGUUAAUUUACUGCUAACAUUUGUGUCAUUUGCUAUCCUUUAUUUUCUUGUGUAAGGCUUUUCCAAUGGCUACUUCUUCUAAAUCCAUCCCCAAAGGGAGAUUAAUCUCCAUAAUUUUCUGUUGUGGCAUCAGUCUCAUUUCCCCAGUGUUAAAUUGGGACAUGCAAUACAAACAGCUUCAGAAGGACCUGAACAGCAAGAAUGAGAGAGGUAUUAGAAUAAAAUAAAAUAAAUUCUUGUUUCAAGCAAGAGAACCUAAAAUAGCAUGUGAACAAAUUAUUGAUUCACAAAUUAUGAUUUGGCACUGCAUGAUAUCAGAGGAGAAACUAGGCUGACUUCUAAAUGGAGUCUUAAAAAAUUUUGAACAACACUAAACAUACCAGCUUUACCGAGAAAGCUCUGGGGUGAUGGGAACUAUGUUAAAAUUUGCCUCCUGGUCUGUGUAGUAAAUAUAACGUCAGCUCCCUUGGGUGGGAAUUUGUCUCAGAGAAUCUUCAUAUUCAGCACACCUCUGGGCUAGAAGAGGAUUUCAGUUUUCAGUCUACUGGGACAGAAACAUUUUACUUCCAGAACAAUGUAAGCUUAUCUGGAGAAGAUGACUAUCCUGCUUAUUCUGUGGAUAGAAAAAAAAUCAUCUCAUUUGGUUCCAAAGCUUGUCAGCUUCACAGGUGUAGGUCAUGUGGCUGAUGCAUGCUGGUGCCCGGCCUUCUCCCAUCAGGUCCUCCCUCCACAGUACCCAGUGGGUUUAUACCAGGUUCUGGGGCUUGGGAAGUGGUAUAUGGGUGUAGGAGAGUGGGUUUGCUUCCUGUUUGUUUCGGGUUCCAAGUGGUAGGUUUUACCAACACCACUCAACUUCAUAGGAGGAUAAACAAGGCCCCCAGCAGGCAGACAUCUACAGGUGUGUUAGAAAUAGAACCAAAGGUGCUGCUUUAGUGUGGAUUUCAAACGUCUCCCAAAGACUCACAUUAAAUAAACGCUUUGCUGGCAGCCAUGACACUACUGGGAGGUGAUGCAACCUUUAAGAGGAGGGGCCUAACUAGAGGAAGUGAGAUCACUGGAGGAGUGGCUAGGAUGGGAUACUAAGACUCCGCUUCUUCCUGUGUUGCUUUACAUCUUAUUUGCCCUGAGGUGAGCAUCUUACCUCAGCUAAAUGCAAUCAACAGCACCUAGUAUAAAGCAGCAUGUUAAUCACUGUGGGGAAUGAAGUGUUGGGGGAGAUGGAGUUGCUUCUUUUUCUUUGUUGCACCUAGAAAUGUAUUGAUCUACCUCUGGAAAGCUAGCUUGUGUAACAUAUAUGUCCCCAGAGCACAGAUUUUUUACUUUGUGUCUUUGAACAGUGGACAUAUUACUAAAAGAAUGUACGAACAGAGGAAAACAAAUUGACUACCACACCGGACAUUUUUAACAGUUGAGGUUAAUGUAACAGAAUUUCAAGGAAAACACUUGGAUUGCCUAAAUUAAGUCUUUUACAAAUAUGUGAUUUCUGGGACCUUCUAUAUUUAGGGUAGAUUUAAUUCUUCAAGUUUUCUACCCAUAUUUCCAUGAAAACACAUACACACACAUGCACGUGAUGUGACUUUCUCCUUCUUUCCAUACUUAAUAUUCCUCAUUAAAAUUGGAUGAAAGGUAAUGAGAAAACCUGUAAUACUUACAAAUUUCAUUAAACUAUGAGCUAAACACAUAUUGGAAAAUCAGAGUCAGAAGAGGUAGACUUAUCAAUUACAAAUCUGUAUCCUCACCUUGAAGCAAACUUAGACAUGUACACAGUAGAUUCAUUUCUAUGGCUCAGAAACACCUAUUAAACUUCAGCUUUGAUGUGUCCUCACAUUUCACUGAUUUUUUUUUUUAGUGAAAAAAUGGAUUUAGUUAUGUAUGACGGAAUUAGGGGCAAGUUAACUUCACUCCUUCUCUAGUUUAGACUGUGGUAUCCAUCUUUUGACAGAUGUAUUGAUGUAAACUUCAGUUUUUCAUCUUCUAAACCUGAAAAACAGAAUUUAAGAUUUAUAUAUAUAAUUUAAAAUAAGUCCUAUACCAAACAACUUUGUUUUGACUAUACCAAUUUUUGGAGCUUGGGGAAAUAGAAUGAUAUAUACAGUCUUCAUUGCUACAUGAAAGGAUCUAUGCCCCCCUCCAAUAUUGUACCUUGGAAUUUUUUAAUGUGAUAAAGAUAAAUCACAUGCCAAACAUUUUUGUGAAAUAUAGAGCUCUUUAGUUUUAUGUAACUACAGUUACAUUUGUUGAUGAAUAUAGAAAAUAAAAAUAUACAUGAAAAUUAUUUUAACAAUGUUAAAUAAACAUUUCAUUAAAUGUUAAUCUGUAAAAUGCAAGUAAAGGUAUAUUUAAUGAAUUGUGGAACUUUAAUUUGCUUCACAUAGUUCUUUUAAAAAGUGAAAUUAUUCUCCAUCUUCUGAAGACUUUGUGAUUGUCUUUCCUAUAUAUAACUAGGUCACAAGAUGUCUGUGUCUUCCCCCUUCUCACUAGAUUAUUAGGGUUUUGUGCUCAAGAAUAAAAAAUACUGUUGUUAUUUUUAAGCAUACUUCAUUUUUCUGGUGAUAGCAA